rnacentral:rRNA from 1 species
CGGAGGAUCCAAGCGUUAUCCGGAUUUAUGGGUUUAAAGGGUGCGUAGGCGGGCUAUUAAGUCAGUGGUGAAAGCCUGCAGCUUAACUGCAGAAUUGCCAUUGAUACUGAUGGUCUUGAGUACACUUGAGGUGGGCGGAAUGUGUCAUGUAGCGGUGAAAUGCUUAGAUAUGACACAGAACACCGAUUGCGAAGGCAGCUCACUAAAUUGUAACUGACGCUGAGGCACGAAAGCGUGGGGAUCAAACAGGAUUAGAUACCCUGGUAGUCCACGCCCUAAACGAUGAUUACUCGAUGUGUGCAAUACACCGUACGCGUCUGAGCGAAAGCAUUAAGUAAUCCACCUGGGGAGUACGACCGCAAGGUUG